GAAAAUAGCACCGCUGGGCGCCGCCCGGCGAGGGCCCCCCGGCGCAGGAGUCGGUGGAGUGGGCGGGUGGCCACCGGCCUCCCUGGGACGCCCCCGAAAAUAGGCCAGUCGUCGGCGCACAUCCGUGUAGUAACUCCACAUGUUUUCCGUUCCCAGAAGUUUUCCUCUCUCUCUCUCUCUCUAUCUCGCUCGCUCGCUCCUG
rnacentral:lncRNA from 1 species